CUCCUCCUUCGUGCUUCCUCCUCCUCCCUGGAACUCUUCCUCCCUGCCGUCCUCUGUGAUUUCUCCCCAAGGUCGUUCCUCCCCUGCAGCCUUACCAAACCCUAGAUCGACGGGGCCGCAGCAAUCUCAUCUCCUCUGCCCACAGGCGGCGGGAGAAGCAGUGAAGACCAUGGCCUGCUGCUCUGUCGGCAACCAAAGACGGAGGAAAGAAGGCCGCGUCGGGUGUGGAUGGAUUCGGCGAUGGGCGAGGCCGCAUCACAAUAUGUUUCUUCUCCUCUUUCCUCAUCCUCUACGACCACAUCUUCAUCCUCCAUACCUCACUUUGUUGUGCUCAUAUUUAUGGUAUCUUCAUCCCCAGGUCAUGGAUCAUCUCCCUAAUCCCCUUUGAGGAGGCUAGAAAUAUGGUAUUUCUUUCUAUGGAAGACGCGAGUUUAAUUGAUGAGAUCAGAGCUAUACGUUUGAAUGGAAUGUUUCUCUCAUUCAACGGGCUAAAGUGUGUUUAUCACAACUUGAAACCAGCUUGAUCUUGUUUAAAUUGCCUUUCUAAAUUGGCUUUCACAUGCAACACUACAGGAAUCUACUGCUGCUAGCAUCCAACAGAUUAGGUGUUGUUUAUGGACACAUGACCUCUUUAUGUACAAAAAAAAUAUUCUCAGGAAGGAUCAUUCAAUACCAUGACAGACAGACAGUAUUCAGUGUAUCUUGCCUGAUAUUUGGACCUUCACAUUGAUUUCUUUGCGCAAGAAUGUCAUUAUUGUAUUGAACACCAAUAACAAUGGCAAAGUUUAUCCUAGGUGGUCCUCUGGUGCUCAGUUUAUGUACACCACCGGGAUUCAUCGUGCAGUGGCCGACCCUUGAAUAACAUCUAACAAGAUGCAGUAUGAGCCAUUCCACGAACGACACUCCUACAUUUGUCACUUCUUAGCUGCGGUAUGAGUUGUUUCGCCUACAUGAGCGACUUGGUAUGCUCUAGACUUCUGAGAUAAAUAUAUCUCUUGAGUAGGCGACCUCUCUUCUCCCUCCCACCACCCUCUGCUUUUCUAUUUUUUCCUAUUCUUUGUACCAGUUUUUAAGGAUCUUACAAAGUUAAACACAUAUAUCAUUAUAUUAUUAGCUAUUUAUGUUUGAACAUGGCUUUCAUUUAGUGAUUAUGGCGUCUUCUUUUAUAUAAAAUAGUUAGAUACUUCUCAUGUAUACUGACGGUUGAUGAAAAAUGUGUCCAGAUUUGAAGUGGCACUCCCUAAGGUUCGGUGCUUCUCAAGUAUAUAUGACGAUUGUAUCCUAAUGUAUCAAAUAGAAAAGAAGCAACAUUGUAUUAUCUGUGUGGAAUUACAUGACUAUUAUCGCCUAAUGUAUCAAAUGGAAAAAGCGGCAUUCCAGAUCAGAGAGAUCGCAAAGUCUCAUCACCACGAGCUAAAUGCCUUGUUGACCUCCUGAUAUGGCGUCUGAGCUUGCUUUUGGAAGCUUUGACAUAAACAUGCCAUUAUCAUCAUCAGUGGGACAGGUGUAUACUAUUGUACCAUUACUUUGGUCUCUUAAUAUUCGAUGACCUUUGAUAAGACUUGGAAUAUUUACUUGAGUGGUACUAGGGAGGAUCUCAGUCAUGUGCAAGCAUAAGGAGAAUAUCGUUGAUGUGCAACUUUGGAUGGUUCCCAUUUCCCAAGUUGGAAGGAUUUGUGAUGUUGUAGAAGUGGCCACCGGGAAGGACUGUCCACAUCACCGACCGUGGCGACCGGUCUUGUGUCUCAGUCUCACAAGUACGAAGAUAAAGCUGCUGCAACGAGGAUCGAAGGGCUUGACGCUGUCGGCCAUGCGAUGGCGACCGUGUAGCCUGUGUUCAAGAUCUGGCAGGCCAUCGACCCGGAGAGUGUCCAGAAGCCCAUGGCGCUCCCUGCGUCAUCCACUAGAAAAUAGAAGCUCUCAUUCUGAGUCCCCGCUUGUAGACAUAUGUGCUGGAAACAAAGAGCACCAUAAGUGUAUUGUCUUUUUCCUCCGCUGUUGUCAGCGUUUUUGCGCUGAAAAUUGCACAUCCUUGUUGUUCGGUUUGGUUAUGUGUUGUGUGGUUAUGGUGUUGACCUAGAACAGCUUGUGGCUCCUUGAUUAGACCGCCAAGGACCAGCAAGGAGGCGCCCCAUGGGGCGCCCCAACCACUAGUUAGUAGUCCAAGAGAGAAGCAGUUUCGCGUGAUCAGAGUAGUAUCUGCAUUUCAUAAACCUUGAACCAGUUUCCGGUUUUAAGUUGCUUGAUUUUAUGGUUU